UACAGAGGUCUCAAGCGUUGUUCGGAUUCAUUGGGCGUAAAGGGUGCGUAGGUGGCUUGGAAAGUUUGAUGUGAAAGCUCAGGGCUUAACCCUGAAAUGGCAUUGAAUACUAUCGAGCUGGAGGUUUGGAGGGGGGACUGGAAUUCUUGGUGUAGCAGUGAAAUGCGUAGAUAUCAAGAGGAACACCAGUGGCGAAGGCGAGUCCCUGGACAACACCUGACACUGAGGCACGAAAGCCGGGGGAGCAAACAGG
rnacentral:rRNA from 1 species